rnacentral:misc_RNA from 1 species
CGCACAUUGCGCCCUUUGGUAUUCCGAGGGGCAUGCCUGUUCGAGCGUCAUUUCAACCCUCAAGCUCAGCUUGGUCUUGGGCGCUGCCGGUCACGGCUGGCCCUAAAAUCAGUGGCGAGGUCCUUGAGCUCUACGCGUAGUAGUACAUCUCGCGAUUGAGUUAUCGGGGACGUUAGCCUGAACAAUUUUUUUUGUGGUUGACCUCGGAUCAGGUAGGGAUACCCGCUGAACUUAA